UCCGGGAACCAGACUGUAACUGUUGGGGAGAAUGGGGCGGAGAGGGGGACAUGCCGGAGAGAGGGAGAGAGCAAGGCAACUCGGGGCUCAAAACAGUCAAAUUCAAAUUAAAAGGUCAAGACACGAUUCAGGGAAUAUUCCCAGAGAGGAAGAGGGAACCUGCAGGGCCUCGGCUGGUUUGUGGGAGUCACGUAUCACACGGGAAACUAGGACACCAGAUGUGACAAAAUCCGACCCGGAGCAGUGUCCUUUACAGAGCGAAUGAGCUGGGGAGCAUUUGUGAAUGGAGAAGAGGAACAAGCGUGUUUGUGUGGUUUUUAUUUUUUUUAAAAAAAAAAGAAAAACGAGAAAUAAGGGACAAGGAAACGGAAUCUGGAAAAUAACUUGUCUCCGGUCACGCCGCAGUUUCCCAUGGACGAAGCCUCGGGUUUCGAUUUUCCAAAGGGCUGGAGCCUGGCCAGAAAAGGACCGGUGCUCCGGGCACCCUGGCGUGGAGGAGUGCGGAGGCUGGAUUGCUUCUAGAGAGGCCCAAGCCCGCGGCUGUUAGAAAAGGAUUUCGGAAGGAAAUCCACGGAACUCCCUCAUCCAGGGAGCAAGAGAUGAGGCACGGGGGUCCGUGGGCCCUGGGAACACUGGCAGAAAAUGUGUAAUGUGUGACUCGCUUGCAGGGCCAGCCAGGGGAGAUUAGAAAUGGUUUUGUGUUUUCAUUUGCAGGGGUCACCGUGGGCUCGGCACAGGGGUUGGCCGGGGCAAGGUUAGGCUGUUUAGGCCCCAGACAAGACUUGGGACAGCCCGGGCAGCCGUCAAUCCAGGGAGCCAUUUGUCCCACCUCCCACCCCGCGGGAAACGGCAGAGACUUUAUGGCCACUCUGUUUGUAUUAUCUGCAUAAGUCUUUCCCCACCAGUUUGAUCGAAACUGUUCGCUUUUACGAGGACCCAACGAAAAUUCCCCGUCAUAUUUAUCAGCCGGGGAUAAAAAUUUAGUAUGGGAACUGAUAUUUCCUCAUUUAUGGGGCGAUGAAAUUAAAGACCAAAGCAAUUGAGAA